UAUUAAAAAUUUCAUCCGUUUGUACUGUUAAAAAUUGUCAUGGUUGACGGAAUAACUAGAUAGUGACAUGUGACGUGUAACGUGUAACGUGUACCUUUUACUGACAUAUAGCUAUAGGGAUCAAUUUUUAACAAUAGAAAUGGAUUAAAACUUUCAACU
rnacentral:pre_miRNA from 1 species